rnacentral:rRNA from 1 species
CGGAAUGGCUAAUACCGCAUAAGCUGGUGACGAUGGGAAUGGUUAUCAGGAAAGCUUUAGUGCUUUGAGAGGGGCCUACGGCCGAUUAGCUAGUUGGUGAGGUAAAGGCUCACCAAGGCGAUGAUCGGUAGCUGGUCUGAGAGGACGAUCAGCCACACGGGAACUGAGACACGGUCCCGACUCCUACGGGGGGCAGCAGUGAGGAAUAUUCGGCAAUGGGGGCAACCCCUGACCGAGCAACGCCGCGUGGAGGAUGACGGUUUUCGGAUUGUAAAACUCCUUUUCUCAGGGAAGAGUGAGGACGGUACCUGAGGAAUAAGUCACGGCUAACUACGUGCCAGCAGCCGCGGUAAUACGUAGGUGGCAAGCGUUAUCCGGAAUUACUGGGCGUAAAGCGCACGCAGGUGGCUGCUUAAGUCUGACGUGAAAGCUCCUGGCUUAACUGGGAGAGGUCGUUGGAGACUGGGCGGCUUGAGGCGAGGAGAGGGGUGUAGAAUUCCCGGUGUAGUGGUGGAAUGCGUAGAGAUCGGGAG